rnacentral:ncRNA from 1 species
CAGGUGCCGCCUGCGGGCGGCUGAAAAGAGAAGCCGGUUGAAGGCCGGCGCGGUCCCGCCACUGUAAGGGGAGCGAAUCUGCAAGAAUGUCACUGGGGAAACCCGGGAAGGCGCAGAGAAGCGAUGAACCAAGCCAGGAGAACUGCCUGUCCG